rnacentral:misc_RNA from 1 species
GCUGUUGAAACUUCAGGGAUCUCCCGUCUUCUAUAGUGCUAUGUUUCCAUCUGCAAAACGGUGAUUCCUGCAAAUAUUGGUUCUUUUUUUUCAAGUGCUUACGCUUGAUCAACGGAUAGCUAGUUACAUGUGGUUCGAUUUUUGAAGGCGUAUGUUAUAAACCUAUAUAAUCUUACAUUGAUCAAACAUCACGAAUGGAUAAUACAUGUCCUUCACCACCGAAACGGCCUCGGACGCAUGAAAACCUGACAGUCCAGCUGGGAAAAAAAAACAUUUCUAUUCAGAUCCAUGGACCAUUGUCAACCGACAUAGAACAGUCAAAUUCAACCCGAGUAGAACGUAUACCUGGGGCAAAAUGUUCCUUGUCUAUGUUGCCAUAUGCAAAUAACAUGAAAUUUGUGCCAAAUAAGGAGAUGAGUCUCACUACUAAGCUUCAAAAACUUAAGCUCAAAUCUCCGGAUGGGCGGGAUCUCGGAGAAAUAGAAGUGAAGCUUUUUCCCCAAAAAUGUGAUGGGAUUAAGGGAAAAACCAUAAUGCUGAAGAAGCACAGCAUGUUUGGUAAGCUAGAAAAUAGUUCCACAGCUGUUUCCAUCCUUAAACCUAUGGACAGAAUCAAAGUUGAAAGCAAUGGACGGGUUUCACCUCAAAUGGCAUCCACGUACGGUCAUGUACAGCAACCAUCUAAGCGUUUUUCGAUAGCAAACGUCUCUUCGAUAAAAUUCAAAGAAGCAACCAGCCAAUCACAGUGUCUGGCGAAUCUAAAUCCUGAACAGAAAUCAAUGAUAUUGAGACACCCAGAUAAUCACAAGCAUCCACCUAUAGCAUCAAGUUCACAAGUGUUUUUGAUACACGUUGACAAACAAAAUGGCCUAAACAACAUCAAAAACAUGCAUAAAGAUGUUAGAAACCUGAGUCAGCCUCCUCCCAAGCAAAAAAUUGUCAUGGUACGAGCAGAAAAUUAUCCUUAUUCAAAUGACACCAAGAAAAAGACUUCAUCGAGUACUGUAAUUGAGCUACGGAAUUCUGCAUCACACAAGGAUCAAUAUGGUACCGAAUCUGUAUCCAUUAUGCCAAGUACAGAAAACUCAAACAUUUCUUUGAGCAUCUCAGGACUCGGUGAAUGUAAAACAAAAGGGUCUAAUCAAAGUAACAUGGUUAUCAAAAAGAUUGUUGAACGUGUUGACAAACCAACAGCUGCUGUAAGGUCAUUAGCUGAUUCUAAGCCUCUUACAGUAACUCGGAAGAGUAGUAAUCCACCAUCAAGCCUAUUACAGACAAAUUUCCAAACUAAAUUAAAACCUUUGAUCCCUGUUAAAACAUAUAGUAGAACAUUGGAAAGUAGUAAAAAAAACAGCAAUAACGUCAAUGAAAGAGAAUCUGUGACAAACAGCAUAGAAGCGACGAAAACCUCUGUGGAAAGUAAUACUCUUACUAAUACACCGAAUCUUGAGAAUACUCAAUAUGUCACAAGUCCAACAAAUAACGUAACGCUUACAGAUGGUAGCAAAGAGGGUAUUGAGAAUUCAGUAGUUAUCACACAGCAUACGGACUUUCUUCAAGUAAAAGCUAGACCCUCAUGUACAGAUAAAGUUAAUACAGGGUUUGUUGAUAAAGAUAAGGGAAAUAAUGGUAAAAACUUAGGUAAAAAUAUGAUGGUUAUUUUACCUAAAGACGUAGAUAUGUCAUCUAUAAAUGAAAGGAAUGACGCAGAAACAAGCAGAACCAGUAUCGAGACAAGCAGUAUGGAAAUUGAUAGGAACACAAAUGCUACUAGGAAUGCAGUAAUGAUCGAGGAAACUGCUUUGAAUCAAAGUUUCGAUGUUGAAUCCCCCAAUCAGAGCGUAGUACUAAAUGGUAUCAGUUCAAUGUCUGCUACUACAUCACCUAAGCGACAAGAUUUAGAUAUUAUUGAGAAAGCACUCAGUACAUUGCCUGAUCAAGUUUUACGUGAGAAAGCUCUCAAAGCUCUUGCAGAUUGUGGAAUUGGUUUAAAGCGAGAUGUACCUGUUCCACCUACAGUCUCUGUUAGCGAUUCAGAAACCCAAACAACAGUUUUUAGUCUUUUGGAGCCAAAAACGUUCUUAGAGUAUAAUGAAAACCUCCCUACCUUAAAAAGGCUGGAGGUUAAUCAAAUCAGUGACACAAUUUUGCAACUACAACAUGAAAACAGAUUGCUUCUUGGUUGUACACAGCAAUGGACGAACAAUGCAUGUGUCAAUACACAAACAAACGUUCCACCAGAAGAUUUCUUUGAUUUCUGUGAUGAUUUUCUGAAUGAACCAACAUCAAGUGUGCACCAAAUUCAGAAAGUACUUUCAAAGCCUGAUAUAAAAAUUCCAAAAAUUGUUGAACAGUUGCAAAAAGAUUUUCAAGCGGCGACAACAUUUGACAACCAGGGAAUGAUGGGGAUUCAUCGAGCAGUUCUGAGUGAAAAUAUCACGGAAGUACGAAGACAGCUGAUUGUUCUUAAAGCUGUGAAACAAAGCGUUGAUGUGCUUACUGAGUGCGGAAAGACGAGUUUGGAACUCGCAGUUGAACAUGACAUAGAACCAGUCAUAGUCGAGAUCCUCCUGAAAGCUGGAGCAAAGCCUGCAUUUUCCAUGAAACUUCACGAAUCAGCACUUAUUAUGGCAUGCAAAAUGUCCUCGACAGUUCUACCUCAGCUGAUUAGUCAUGUGGAUUCUCCAAGCUUACUCGACAAUAUAGACUCUGAAGGUUUUGCGCCUUUGCACUACUGUGCUCAGUUGGGGAAUGUAAAUGCAGUCAAACAACUAAUUUCCGCUGGAGCGAAUAUCAACUUACGAGAUGCUAAAUCUGGUCGUACAGCAAUAUUUCAUGCUCUUGACCACCAAAAUAUUCCACUAGCAUGGUAUUUGAUAGAGAACAGAGCUUCAACGACUAUCACAAAUUUUGCUGGGCAAUCACCAGCAGGUUUGGUAGAUGAACACAAGCAUAAUACUUUGGCAGAAAAGCUUAAUCAAGAAAUAAGCUAGAAGCGCUCAAUCUUUCAAAGCGACAAAUCAUCACUCUCAAAAGACUGUAUCAUUGUACAUAUAGAUCUCAAAUUGUUAAUAGAAACAUCUUAUUGCUGGCAGAGUGAUUGCCACGAUUAAAGAUCGUGUAAUACGUAAUUACGAUUAGAUUAGUAAUCUGCUUGUAGACUACGACAUAAUUACGCCCUAAAUUAUUAAAUACCACAAGAUAAACGCUGUACAUAUAAAUUUUUUUUUUUUUUUUUAUUGUAUUUUGGUCAUCUCAUUACCUCAGAGUAACGGGAUCUAAUUGUAGAGAAUAUCCUAUGGUAAGAGAACCAUAUCAUUUUGAGGUUACAAUUUUUUUGAUUAUUUGGUGAUUAUUUGGUAGCUCGUUUAUUACUAAGUAUUACUCAUUCGUAUUUAUAUUUAACGUUAUUUAAGUAUAUUAAGCGGAGUAGUUUAUAUUUGUGAAUCUGUAUUCAGGGUAUCAAAUUGCACAAUCUAUCAGUAAAAUCAGUUGAAAAUUUCAGUUCUGCAUUGAUGAAAUCAGUUUCUAACGAGCUAUUCGUUCAUAGGAUUGGUGUAAUUGAAAACCGGAAUCUAUAAAAUCAGUAAUUGUUACAAAAUUACCAAAAAAAUAUUUGCUAAAACUGUAUGAUAAUUAGCUCGUAAGAGUGAACCUUUUAUUUCUGCACAUUCGAAAUGGAUCUAUGAAUCAACAAUAGGUAGAGUAAAAAAUUUAACGGCCGUUAUUCGUGUCACAUUAGUUUUAAUUCUUAUGACUACAAAUCGUGAAAGUUUGUAAUUCAAAGCAUUGACUUUCUGCUACGUAAAAAACUAACAAUUGUUACAAUUUAUAGUAGGGUAAACUAAUGACAAACGACAAAACAGUGUCAAUGUACAUACGUCUGAUUUGGCAAACAGUCUUACUGGUAAUAUUAUUAUUCAAUUAUUUGUCAGUUAAGCAACGAUUAAAAUUCGUCUUGAUUUGUUUGCCUAGUCGGCAGUAAGAUUGUUUAUUAAACAAGAGUAUGAUAAAAUAACGUAUGAAAUUUAGUUUAAAUCUCUGCUCGUACAUUUUCCGAGAUAAACUAAUCUCUAACGAUUUUCAGUGUUUAUUUCACAUUUAUGUAUGCGGUGGAUAGGAAAUUAAUUUGUAAGUAUAAGUAGAGAUGUUUUUUUUUCGUUUUACAUACAGUGAAAAAAAUAUUCGUCCCCAUUAGAUUCCAGUCAGAAAUUCCGAUGUACAGUUUUACAAUGUUAUCUAAUCAGGGUCAAUAUUCACUUAUGCACUUAUGUUGCAAGCUAUAAUGUACCUGAGUUAGAUUUCAUACAACAAACCAAAAUACCGUGAUCUAAUGAAGAUACUUUUUUGCUAUUUUGUUUCUUGAUGCGUACAUGAAUUAUUUGUACAAGGUAUGAAGUUUUGGGCUACUUGACUUUCAUGUUAGUAAUUUUAUUCUUACAAAAUUUGUCAAUGAAAGAUGUAUCUCAAUUCUAUACAUCAGAAUUAUGAAAGCAAUGGCAAUGCUUGACUCAAAAAGACACUUUAUAGAUAAAUGAAACUCCCUGGUUGUACUUUGCGGAUAAGUACACUAGGUUUUACUAAUUAAUCGAAAAAAUAUACGAAUUGACGUUUAAUUUAAAUCGUUAUAGUAAACCUUGCUUCUGCAAUUAGACGGUAUAAAUGUAACAUGUUGAUUCACAUCCACAUAUUUAUUAAGCGCUGUUUUAGUGUAUAAUUAUUUUUAUUACGCCGUAGACAAGCACGAGACUUAUUUGUACGUCCAUUCAAAAUUUCGUUGGAAAAGAAUUUAAAUUGAAGUUUCCUCUCAAGUUUAUAAUACUUUAGGAUGGAAUUAUGUACAAAUAAAUCUAUGUUAUUUACACCAAUAUUGAGAUAUCGGAUUGAUGUUUCGUUUUCCUAAUAUAGGUAUCAAACAAGUGUAAUCAAACUUUAAAAAUGAAGGAAAAAUCAACAGUACAAUCUAACAUGUGAAUCUGAUCAUACAUUUGGAAAUCGUAUUCCUGAUGUAGGUUCGCCUUAAUCCAGGCAACCUAUUAUACAUACGAAAAUGUAUUUGAGCAUCUGGUUGGGCGCUUGCGCAAAACUGCACACGACCAACGUCUGAAAACAAAUUACAAAGCGUCGGAGCCUCGCAGGUUGUAGCGUGAUUAACCGUGCUUACUUCUGAGUGAUCGAAAUAAAGCAACUGAUUAAAGUUGGAAAAGAUUUGAAAAAAAUAUGGGAAUUAGUAAAAUUAGAGUUUGCGUUCAAAUUCGCAGAUACGAUCUACUCGAAGGAGAAAAUGACAAACUACAAACUAUUUUGCAGCAAGUUACUUUAGAGCCAGAACUAACAUUCGACGAUCUCAGGCUUGCCCUGUUCUGUUUGGUUGGCAUUGAAGAUGAUGGCAGUAGAGUAUUGAAAAUCAGAAGACAUGACAAUAAUCUAAUACCAGUUUCCACUUUGCUUAAUGGUUCCUCAAAGGAUAAGCCAUUCAUUGUGGACGUUGUUCGCAUUCAUCAAUACUGCCUACCUAAAGAACGAAGUAUUCCACCUGGGUAUGUAGAAGCUCUGUCAUUGAAGCUGAACAAUCUUGAGAAAAGAAUGAUUUUGGUCGAAAAUGAAUUACCAGAGUUAGAGGCUCUGCGAAUCGCUGCGAUAGAGGAUGCAGCAUCUCAAUUAGGCAGUUGCGUUAACUUUUUGGACCGCAGACUAGAUGAGCUAGCUCCCCCUCAUUGGAAAGCACAGAUUGGAUCAAGCAUUUAAUUGAUAAAAAUAUAUCAGAACGCAUCCAAAGCUGAAAACAUUCCAAAACUGACUUGCUAUAAAAAAGUUUAUUCCUGCAACCGGAAUUUUAAACGCACUUUCUGUUAAUUUUAGUGCAAAGAAAUUAAAGCAUGUGCGUUCGAAUAACAGGUCUUCGCUAAAUACUACGAAUUAAUUGAAGAAUUUCAAAUAUUUAUUUUGUGAUUUCGGAUCAUUAGUCAUUGAGAGGAAGGAGAGAAUGUUUAGUAGCCUGACUAUAAUGCUGUCAUAGAAUUAUGUGUGGAUAGAAAUAACACAAUGCUUUUGAGUACAGGAGGGAUUGUAUUUUGGGGAUAACUGUAUAUCAACAAUUUACAUAAUUUGUAAAUUCAAUUACUAAAUAGAUACUAUGUAACAAAAAUAA